rnacentral:tRNA from 3 species
GCAAUGAUAGCUCAGCACCAGAG